rnacentral:rRNA from 1 species
UAGGGAAUCUUCCACAAUGGACGCAAGUCUGAUGGAGCAACGCCGCGUGAGUGAAGAAGGUUUUCGGAUCGUAAAGCUCUGUUGUUGAUGAAGAAGGAUAGAGGCAGUAACUGGUCUUUAUUUGACGGUAAUCAACCAGAAAGUCACGGCUAACUACGUGCCAC